rnacentral:rRNA from 1 species
UCAGCGGGGGAUAACUAUUGGAAACGAUAGCUAAUACCGCAUAACAAUGUUGGAUGCAUAUUCGACAUUUGAAAGUACCAAUUGGUACACUGAGAGAUGGACCCACGUUGUAUUAGCUAGUUGGUAGUGUAAUGGACUACCAAGGCGAUGAUACAUAGCCGACCUGAGAGGGUGAUCGGCCACAUUGGGACUGAGACACGGCCCAAACUCCUACGGGAGGCAGCAGUAGGGAAUCUUCGGCAAUGGACGAAAGUCUGACCGAGCAACGCCGCGUGAGUGAAGAAGGUUUUCGGAUCGUAAAACUCUGUUGUUAGAGAAGAACGUUGCAUAGAGUGGAAAAUUAUGCAAGUGACGGUAUCUAACCAGAAAGGGACGGCUAACUACGUGCCAGCAGCCGCGGUAAUACGUAGGUCCCGAGCGUUGUCCGGAUUUAUUGGGCGUAAAGCGAGCGCAGGUGGUUUAAUAAGUCUGAUGUAAAAGGCAGUGGCUCAACCAUUGUGUGCAUUGGAAACUGUUAGACUUGAGUGCAGUAGAGGAGAGUGGAAUUCCAUGUGUAGCGGUUGAAAUGCGUAGAUAUAUGGAGGAACACCGGUGGCGAAAGCGGCUCUCUGGACUGUCACUGACACUGAGGCUCGAAAGCGUGGGUAGCAAACAGGAUUAGAUACCCUGGUAGUCCACGCCGUAAACGAUGAGUGCUAGUUGUUUGGGGCUAUCCAGCCCUAAGUGACGCAGCAAACGCAUUAAGCACUCCGCCUGGGGAGUACGACCGCAAGGUUGAAACUCAAAGGAAUUGACGGGGGCCCGCACAAGCGGUGGAGCAUGUGGUUUAAUUCGAAGCAACGCGAAGAACCUUAC